rnacentral:rRNA from 1 species
GGCUCAGGAUGAACGCUAGCGGCAGGCUUAAUACAUGCAAGUCGUGGGGCAGCAUGAGUAGCAAUACUUGAUGGCGACCGGCAAACGGGUGAGGAACACGUACACAACCUUCCUUCAAGCGGGGAAUAGCCCAGAGAAAUUUGGAUUAAUACCCCAUAAUAUAUUUGAUAAGGCAUCUUAUUAAUAUUAAAAGCUUCGGCACUUGAUGAUGGGUGUGCGGCUGAUUAGAUAGUUGGCGGGGUAACGGCCCACCAAGUCUACGAUCAGUAGCUGAUGUGAGAGCAUGAUCAGCCACACGGGCACUGAGACACGGGCCCGACUCCUACGGGAGGCAGCAGUAAGGAAUAUUGGACAAUGGACGAAAGUCUGAUCCAGCCAUGCCGCGUGAAGGAUUAAGGUCCUCUGGAUUGUAAACUUCUUUUAUAUGGGACGAAAAAGGGCAUUCUUGUUCACUUGACGGUACCAUAUGAAUAAGCACCGGCUAACUCCGUG